CUGGGAGGCUGAGAUGGGAAUUGCGUGAACCCUAGAGGUAGAGGUUGUGGUAAGCCGAGAUCUCACCAUUGCACUCCAGCCUGGGCAACAAGAACGAAACUCCGUCUCAAAAAAAAAAAAAGAGUAAAAUAAAUGUGGCCAGGUAUGGUUUAGCAGUCUUCCAAAGGAUGAAUUUAGGCCCUUACUAUUCAAAAUGUAAUCCACAGAGCAGUGGCAUCACCACUAAAUGUAGAUCUCAAGCCCCACCCAAACCUGCUGAAUCAAUCUGCGUAUUAAAAGAUCCCCAGGGCCGGGCGUGGUGGCUCAGGCCUGUAAUCCCAGCAC